UACGUAGGGUGCGAGCGUUGCCCGGAUUCAUUGGGCGUAAAGAGCUCGUAGGCGGUUUGUUGCGUCUAUCGUGAAAACCUGCAGCUUAACUGUGGGCUUGCGGUGGAUACGGGCAGACUUGAGUUCGGUAGGGGAGACUGGAAUUCCUGGUGUAGCGGUGAAAUGCGCAGAUAUCAGGAGGAACACCGGUGGCGAAGGCGGGUCUCUGGGCCGAUACUGACGCUGAGGAGCGAAAGCGUGGGGAGCGAACAGG
rnacentral:rRNA from 1 species